rnacentral:rRNA from 1 species
CAGCGGCGGACGGGUGAGUAAUGCCUAGGAAUCUGCCUGGUAGUGGGGGAUAACGUCCGGAAACGGGCGCUAAUACCGCAUACGUCCUGAGGGAGAAAGUGGGGGAUCUUCGGACCUCACGCUAUCAGAUGAGCCUAGGUCGGAUUAGCUAGUUGGUGGGGUAAAGGCCUACCAAGGCGACGAUCCGUAACUGGUCUGAGAGGAUGAUCAGUCACACUGGAACUGAGACACGGUCCAGACUCCUACGGGAGGCAGCAGUGGGGAAUAUUGGACAAUGGGCGAAAGCCUGAUCCGGCCAUGCCGCGUGUGUGAAGAAGGUCUUCGGAUUGUAAAGCACUUUAAGUUGGGAGGAAGGGCAGUAAGUUAAUACCUUGCUGUUUUGACGUUACCAACAGAAUAAGCACCGGCUAACUUCGUGCCAGCAGCCGCGGUAAUACGAAGGGUGCAAGCGUUAAUCGGAAUUACUGGGCGUAAAGCGCGCGUAGGUGGUUCAGCAAGUUGGAUGUGAAAUCCCCGGGCUCAACCUGGGAACUGCAUCCAAAACUACUGAGCUAGAGUACGGUAGAGGGUGGUGGAAUUUCCUGUGUAGCGGUGAAAUGCGUAGAUAUAGGAAGGAACACCAGUGGCGAAGGCGACCACCUGGACUGAUACUGACACUGGGGUGCGAAAGCGUGGGGAGCAAACAGGAUUAGAUACCCUGGUAGUCCACGCCGUAAACGAUGUCGACUAGCCGUUGGGAUCCUUGAGAUCUUAGUGGCGCAGCUAACGCGAUAAGUCGACCGCCUGGGGAGUACGGCCGCAAGGUUAAAACUCAAAUGAAUUGACGGGGGCCCGCACAAGCGGUGGAGCAUGUGGUUUAAUUCAAAGCAACGCGAAGAACCUUACCUGGCCUUGACAUGCUGAGAACUUUCCAGAGAUGGAUUGGUGCCUUCGGGAACUCAGACACAGGUGCUGCAUGGCUGUCGUCAGCUCGUGUCGUGAGAUGUUGGGUUAAGUCCCGUAACGAGCGCAACCCUUGUCCUUAGUUACCAGCACCUCGGGUGGGCACUCUAAGGAGACUGCCGGUGACAAACCGGAGGAAGGUGGGGAUGACGUCAAGUCAUCAUGGCCCUUACGGCCAGGGCUACACACGUGCUACAAUGGUCGGUACAAAGGGUUGCCAAGCCGCGAGGUGGAGCUAAUCCCAUAAAACCGAUCGUAGUCCGGAUCGCAGUCUGCAACUCGACUGCGUGAAGUCGGAAUCGCUAGUAAUCGUGAAUCAGAAUGUCACGGUGAAUACGUUCCCGGGCCUUGUACACACCGCCCGUCACACCAUGGGAGUGGGUUGCUCCAGAAGUAGCUAGUCUAACCGCAAGGGGGACGGUUACCACGGAGUGAUUCAUGACUGGGGUGAAGUCGUAACAAGGU